rnacentral:rRNA from 1 species
UAUAGGCAGUUUAGAAUAAAAAACUUUUAUAAAGCAGAGUAUGGGGGUAUCAGAAAUGCUAAGUGAUUAUAUAUAGGUCUGUAGAGAUUUAUCUAAAAAUGAAAAAGCUUCAGUAAUUCAGUACCUUUUGUAUAAUGGUCUUUCAAGAGAGUUUGCCAUAAUGGUUUAUCCCGAACUAAGUAGAUUUUUUAAAAAACAAUAGGAGGUUUUCGAUGUGAGAAAUCUUUAGAUUUUUUGAAGGAUGUGAUAUGCAAUAUCGAGACUUAGGAUAGCUGGUUGAGCGAAAAAUGCUUUUAAGUGCAGCUUUAAAGUUUUUAAUGAUUUUAGGGAAAUAAGCCUGUAAAUCAACUUUAAAAGUGAAAAUCUUGGCGAAAGGUCGAGUUUAUUGGUCUUCUUAAAAUUUAUUCUUAGUAAAGAAAAGUUGGAUUUAUAAUGUCUGUUUUGGUAAGAGUAUUUAACAAUUUAUCUUUAUAUGAAAAAGAAGAAUUAAUCGUGUUUAGGAGGGUGGAAAAUCGCUUAAUUACUAAAAAUGAUUUACAAAGUAAGUUUUUAUGAAUAGAAUUAGUAGUAACUGU